UACGUAGGCGGCGAACGUUACUCGGAAUCACUGGGCUUAAAGGGCGUGUAGGUGGCUUAUCAAGUGAGAGUUGAAAUCCGGCGGCUCAACCGUCGAACUGGCCCUCAUACUGAUGAGCUCGAGUCGUACAGGGGAUGCUGGAACUUGCAGUGGAGCGGUGGAAUGCGCAGAUAUUGCAAGGAACACCAAUGGCGAAGGCAGGCAUCUGGGUAAUGACUGACACUGAGGCGCGAAAGCCGGGGGAGCAAACAGGAUUAGAACCU
rnacentral:rRNA from 1 species